rnacentral:rRNA from 1 species
AGGGCUACACACGUGCUACAAUGGCGUAUACAAAGAGAAGCGACCUCGCGAGAGCAAGCGGAACUCAUAAAGUACGUCGUAGUCCGGAUUGGAGUCUGCAACUCGACUCCAUGAAGUCGGAAUCGCUAGUAAUCGUAGAUCAGAAUGCUACGGUGAAUACGUUCCCGGGCCUUGUACACACCGCCCGUCACACCAUGGGAGUGGGUUGCAAAAGAAGUAGGUAGCUUAACCUUCGGGAGGGCGCUUACCACUUUGUGAUUCAUGACUGGGGUGAAGUCGUAACAAGGUAACCGUAGGGGAACCUGCGGUUGGAUCACCU